rnacentral:rRNA from 1 species
AACGAACGCUGGCGGCAGGCCUAACACAUGCAAGUCGAGCGAAGCCUUCGGGCUUAGCGGCGGACGGGUGAGUAACGCGUGGGAACGUGCCCUUUGCUACGGAGUAGCCCCGGGAAACUGGGAGUAAUACCGCAUGUGCCCUUCGGGGGAAAGAUUUAUCGGCAAAGGAGCGGCCCGCGUUGGAUUAGGUAGUUGGUGGGGUAAUGGCCUACCAAGCCGACGAUCCAUAGCUGGUUUGAGAGGAUGAUCAGCCACACUGGGACUGAGACACGGCCCAGGCUCCUACGGGAGGCAGCAGUGGGGAAUCUUAGACAAUGGGGGAAACCCUGAUCUAGCCAUGCCGCGUGAUCGAUGAAGGCCUUAGGGUUGUAAAGAUCUUUCAGUGGGGAAGAUAAUGACUGUACCCACAGAAGAAGCCCCGGCUAACUCCGUGCCAGCAGCCGCAGUAAUAC